AAUGGUUCUCGGGUGACGCACCCCGGAAUCGGGCUUCUUCCUCUCUGGUUCCGGGGUGCAUCACCCAAGAACCACC
rfam:Myotis lucifugus cont2.22942, whole genome shotgun sequence.